ACGGGUGAGUAAUGCGUAGGAAUUUUUCUAGAUGAAGGGGAUAGCUUAGGGAAACUUAAGGUAAUACCGUAUAAGCCCGAGAGGGGAAAGCAGGGGACUGUAAUAGGCCUUGCGCAUUUAGGUGAGCCUACGUCGGAUUAGCUAGUUGGUUAGGUAAAGGCUGACCAAGGCGAUGAUCCGUAGCUGGUCUGAGAGGACGACCAGCCACACUGGGACUGAGACACGGCCCAGACUCCUACGGGAGGCAGCAGUGGGGAAUAUUGGACAAUGGGCGGAAGCCUGAUCCAGCAAUGCCGCGUGUGUGAAGAAGGCCUGCGGGUUGUAAAGCACUUUAGUUGGGGAGAAAGAGGCUUGUACUAAUACUACGAGCGGAUGAUGUUACCCAAAGAAUAAGCACCGGCUAACUCUGUGCCAGCAGCCGCGGUAAUACAGAGGGUGCGAGCGUUAAUCGGAAUUACUGGGCGUAAAGGGUGCGUAGGUGGUUGAAUAAGUUAGGUGUGAAAUCCCCGGGCUUAACCUGGGAAUUGCGCCUGAUACUGUUUAGCUAGAGUACUGUAGAGGGGAGUGGAAUUUCCGGUGUAGCGGUGAAAUGCGUAGA
rnacentral:rRNA from 1 species